CAUGACUAUAGGACCGAGAGGAGACUGAGAAACACAGGAAGCACCAGAGUGGUUGAAAGGAGCUGAAGGCUCAGACAGCAA
rnacentral:lncRNA from 1 species